AUGGGGAUCUGGGAUCAGGGAUUUGGGAUCAGGAUCUGGGAUGGGGAUCUGGGAUUUGAGCUCUGGAUUUGGGAUCCGGGAUCAGGAUCUGGGAUCAGGAUUUGGGAUCAGGAUUUGGGAUUGGGAUCUGGGAUCAGGAUCUGGGAUUGGGAUCAGGAUCUGGGAUCGGGAUCUGGGGUCAGGAUUUGGGAUCUGGGAUCGGGAUCUGGGAUCAGGAUCUGGGAUCAGGAUCUGGGAUGGGGAUCUGGGAUCUGGGAUCAGUAUCUGGGAUCAGGAUUUGGGAUCUGGGAUGGGGAUCUGGGAUCAGGAUCUGGGAUCAGGAUCUGGGAUCGGGAUCUGGGAUUGGGAUCAGAAUCUGGGAUCAGGAUCGGGGAUCUGGGAUCUGUUCUCGUGUCUCUGAGGCGCUGCCCCCCCGCAGUAUCCGAUGUAUUCCCGGGAUUACGUUUACGUCCGGCGCUACAGCGUCGACAGCGACCGCAACCUCAUGGUGCUCGUGUCCCGGUGCGGCGUUCGUGCCCGGAAAUCCUCCCUGGCAUUCCCGGAAAUCCUCCCCCGGCAUUCCCGGAAAUCCUCCCUGGCAUUCCCAAAAAUCCUCCCUGGCAUUCCCGGAAAUCCUCCCUGGCAUUCCCGGAAAUCCCACCCAGCAUUCCCAAAAAUCCUCCCCCGGCGUUCCCGGAAAUCCUCCCCGGCAUUCCCAAAAAUCCUCCCCCGGCGUUCCCGGAAAUCCUCCCUGGCAUUCCCAAAAAUCCCCCCCAGCAUUCCCAAAAAUCCCCCAAAGGGAUUCCCAGAAAAUCAACCCUGACAUUCCCAAAAAUCCUCCCCCGGCAUCCCCAAAAAUCCCUGGCGUUCCCGGAAAUCCCACCUGGCAUUCCCAAAAAUCUUCCCCGGCAUUCCCAAAACUCCCCUCCGGCAUUCCCAAAAAUCCCCAACAUUCCCAAAAAAUCAACCCCAGCUUUCCCAAAAAUCCCCCACGGAAUUCCCCAAAAAACCCCCCUGGAAUUCCCAAAAAAACCCCCACAGAAUUCCCAAAAAAACCCCCACAGAAUUCCCAAAAAAAUCCCUGUGAUUCCCAAAAAAAUCCUUGGAAUUCCCCCCCAAAAAAACCCCAAAAAUUCCCUAAAAAAAAUUCCAGAAAUUCCCCCCAAAAAAUCCCUCAGAAUUCCCAAAACCUCUGGAAUUUUCUAA
rnacentral:lncRNA from 1 species